UACGAGGGGGGCGAGCGUUGUCCGGAAUCAUUGGGCGUAAAGAGCGUGUAGGCGGCCACUUAAGUCCUGCGUGAAAUCUUGCGGCUCAACCGCAAGCGGUCGUGGGAAACUGGGUGGCUAGAGUGCGGGAGAGGAGAGUGGAAUUCCUGGUGUAGCGGUGGAAUGCGCAGAUAUCAGGAAGAACACCCGUGGCGAAGGCGGCUCACUGGCCCGAUACUGACGCUGAGGCACGAAAGCGUGGGGAGCAAACAGG
rnacentral:rRNA from 1 species